UUUUGGACAAUGGGCGCAAGCCUGAUCCAGCAAUGCCGCGUGAGUGAAAAAGGCCUUCGGGUUGUAAAGCUCUUUUAGUUGAAAAGAAAAAAUCAUAACUAAUAAUUAUGAUUCAUGACGGUAUCAACAGAAGAAGCACCGGCUAACUACGUGCCAGCACCCGCGGUAAUACGUAGGGUGCAAGCGUUAAUCGGAAUUACUGGGCGUAGAGGGUGCGCAGGCGGUUCUGUAAGUCAGAUGUGAAAUCCUCGGGCUUAACCUGGGAACUGCGUUUGAAACUGCAGAGCUAGAGUGCGGCAGAGGGAGGUGGAAUUCCAUGUGUAGCAGUGAAAUGCAAUAUAACGUC
rnacentral:rRNA from 1 species